UACAGAGGGGGCAAGCGUUGUUCGGAAUUACUGGGCGUAAAGGGCGCGUAGGCGGCCUGCUAAGUCGAACGUGAAAUCCCUGGGCUCAACCCAGGAACUGCGUCCGGUACUGGUUGGCUUGAAUCCGGGAGAGGGAUGUGGAAUUCCAGGUGUAGCGGUGAAAUGCGUAGAUAUCUGGAGGAACACCGGUGGCGAAGGCGACAUCCUGGACCGGUAUUGACGCUGAGGCGCGAAAGCCAGGGGAGCAAACGGG
rnacentral:rRNA from 1 species